CCCGCCGCCGGCCUUGCAUGCGCUGCCCUACCCGAACGCCUCGCCGCCGCUGGCCAUUCUUCUCCUCUACUCCAAAGGCUGCCAUCAGCCUCGCACGUGCCCCCAUCCUCACACCUCCCGCCUCCAUCCGCCCCCCUGCUCCAUGGCCUCGUAGGCACUGCCCGCCACUCCCACCCUCAUGGCUUCAAACCUCUUUGCAGCCGGACGUUCCCCUCCUCUGCUCCUGGCGGCUGCCGUCCCGAGCUACGGCGCGCGGAUCCAUGGAUGGCAAGCUCCAGCCUGUGGACAUGGUGAGGCGGCCCUUUCCUCCCUCCUAGAACCACCGGAGGCAUGGCGUGCCGGCGGCGGAGUGCCAAUUUGGCGAGGGUGUGCCGAUGCUUCUCAUCAUUCAGGCAGAAAAAGAACGAGAACCACUGCAUGAACACCUUACUCGAAUUUUAUCUACCGAGUGGAUCGGCUUCUCCCAUGAUUGCUGGACCACGGUAAGGAAGUUUGGCAAUUCUCCCAAGUAUGAUUCAAAACAAAAGGUGUUCCUUCUUUGCUGUUGCAGCAUAUACGAGAGUAGGAGAGGAGAGUGAUCUGACAUUGAGGAUGAGAGAGCUUGCAGAAAGCAGUUCGGGUGGCCCAUUUCCCAUUGUUCAGUGUAGAACAGAUGGUCGAUUUUGGUGAAAGUCGGGGUGUCGGUGCCACUGGACCAAGAGAAAUGCCGGCCGUGUAGGUUGGAAUCUCCCAUGACAGUCCAUUGCGGCAGCAUUUCAGCACGCGUGGAUGUUAGCUCUGCCAUGAAUUCCUGCUUGUCAUUGUCCUCCUGCGGUCCAUACACUCCUGUGAGGCUAAAUGUAUUGCCAUUUGCCAUGUUCUUUAUUGUAGCUGACACCAUGUAUUUACCCACGAGAAUGUCCUGCAUUAUAUACUGAUGUAAAGAACAUGCGAUGAUCACUCCCCCA